rnacentral:rRNA from 1 species
UACGGAGGGGACUAGCGUUGUUCGGAUUUAUUGGGCGUAAAGGGUGCGUAGGCGGCGGAGUAAGUUGGGUGUGAAAUCCCGAGGCUCAACCUCGGAAUUGCAUUCAAUACUGCUUCGCUCGAGUACUGGAGAGGAGGCUGGAAUUUACGGUGUAGCAGUGAAAUGCGCAGAUAUCAGGAGGAACACCAAUUGCGAAGGCAGCUCGCUGGGACGUUACUGACGCUGAGACGCGAAAGCGUGGGGAGCAAACGGG